rnacentral:rRNA from 1 species
GGACAAAGACUGACGCUCAGGUGCGAAAGCGUGGGGAGCAAACAGGAUUAGAUACNNGGUAGNCCACGCUGUAAACGAUGUCGACUUGGAGGUUGUGCCCUNGAGGCGUGGCUUCCGGAGCUAACGCGUUAAGUCGACCGCCUGGGGAGUACGGCCGCAAGGUUAAAACUCAAAUGAAUUGACGGGGGCCCGCACAAGCGGUGGAGCAUGUGGUUUAAUUCGAUGCAACGCGAAGAACCUUACCUACUCUUGACAUCCACGGAAUUUGGCAGAGAUGCCUUAGUGCCUUCGGGAACCGUGAGACAGGUGCUGCAUGGCUGUCGUCAGCUCGUGUUGUGAAAUGUUGGGUUAAGUCCCGCAACGAGCGCAACCCUUAUCCUUUGUUGCCAGCACUUCGGGUGGGAACUCAAAGGAGACUGCCGGUGAUAAACCGGAGGAGGGUGGGGAUGACGUCAAGUCAUCAUGGCCCUUACGAGUAGGGCUACACACGUGCUACAAUGGCGUAUACAAAGAGAAGCAAACUCGCGAGAGCCAGCGGACCUCAUAAAGUACGUCGUAGUCCGGAUUGGAGUCUGCAACUCGACUCCAUGAAGUCGGAAUCGCUAGUAAUCGUAGAUCAGAAUGCUACGGUGAAUACGUUCCCGGGCCUUGUACACACCGCCCGUCACACCAUGGGAGUGGGUUGCAAAAGAAGUAGGUAGCUUAACCUUCGGGAGGGCGCUUACCACUUUGUGAUUCAUGACUGGGGUG